AAGAAAAUAUGGACUUUGCGACAGUUGAAUUGUGACAACAAAGUCAAAACCGUUGCAAUGUGUUUUUUUUUGGAAUUUUGUGACAGUGUAUAUGACGGUUUGAUCAACCGUCGCAGCUUUUGGUUCUAAAACCGUGAAACCAUGUUUUAAUUUAGCCCCAUACAGAUCUACUCAGACAUACUCAAAUCCUUCUUCACUUUUUGUUCUAAAAAAACCCUAAAAUCCCUAAAUCCCAAUCUCUCUUGCGACAAAUCCACGCUCCAAAUCCUGUUCCCCAUCAUCGUUCCAAUCCCACCAAUCCCUAAAUCUCCUUCAUGUUUCAAUCAACGAAGCUUCAUCGUUCUGUUUCUAUUCUCUCUCUCUCUCUCUCUCUCUCUCUCUCGUUAUGUCUCCGACAACGACGGCAGCGUCCGCCACCCUUCAGGCAACAUCCGGCAGCACAAGACACCAUCUAUUGUUUACACUUAAGGUUUGUUUUCCCUUCUUUCUUCUUCCCUUUCUUUGUUCUGGUUAGUUUUCUAUUAGGUUGCACAACCUAAGCGUAGCCUAAGGGUUAUCUAUCUAUAUUUAUUUUUAUUUUUAUAUUAUUAUUAUUAUUAUAAAUCCUGAAAAGUUGAGCAAUUGUUUAGGUUAAUCUGCUCAACCAAUGAAAAACAUGUAAUCUGUUCUAAUUCUUUUAAGUAGGUUUCAAAUAAAUGUUUCUCUUUCUCAUUUGUUUGAUAAUGAAGUUUUGAUUGUUCAAUUGUAUAGAUGUUUCCAUUGAUAUAUUUCUAAAUGAUGCUAUAGAAUGUUUUUCAUCCUUGAACCUUAAUUUUGUUUGUGUCGUAUUUGACUUAUUUUGUGUUUGUUUGAGUUGUGUUUCUUUGAUUAGGUACACAGUGAAAGAAAAUAGCAUUUCUCGGUUCUAUUAGUGUAAGUCACUUUAUUUGAUUGUUCCUUUCGAUUGAUUAUUAUGUAUACUUGCAGCUUUGUAAUAUGUCCCUUAUUAUCUUAUGGUUGAGACUAGCUAAUUUCUUGUAACAUUUUAAAAAUCUCGUGGUUUUGUAGACUAACUAAUGCCUGAUAAGAAGUACAACACUUGGUGCAUACAACUUUGUUUUACUUAUUCCCACACUGCACAAUUUGAGUAUGAUAAAUUGACUUCAAAUAAAAUCAAUCUAGCUCCUAUAUAUUACCCCUCUAAUUGUAACUAGUUUUGCCAAACAGAGUUUGUUAACUCUGAAACCUUUCAAAUAGUGAAUUGACUACAAAAUAAUAACUACUUUCACGUUUAAAAGAUGAUAGAGUAGGUUUUGAUUAAAGAACUCUACUAGUGCAGCUCCUGCCCUUAAUUAGUCUCUACUAGUACUGGUGAUACAAUAGGAGUGCCUAAUUGAUAUUCAUAAGUCAUAGUUAUUCCGAAUUCGCUACGUGAUAUCAGUCGAUUGAUUCUUUGCUUCAAUUUUCCACAAAUUUAUGGCACUGAUGUCAUACUACCUUUCUCAGUUACCAUAUCAGGAUCCCCUCCAAAUACUUGAGGCUGAUAUACAACAAGCUGCUGCAAUUCCAAGAGCCAGAGGAGGGACUCUUAUUAAAAUGAAAUUGGUUUGCAAUGGAUGGAUUGUUCUUGUGUGAAUGACAUACACUCUUAUUUUGUGUGAAUAAUUAUGAUAACUCUUUGUAUUGGAGGCACAUAUCCAUGCCACUUAUGUAGCCUUUUAUUUGUUGGUAAUCGAGGUAUAUAUAUGCUAUAAGUAAUAGGUAAUUAAUAAGUAACUUAUUGCAAGAGUGAUUGUUUAUACUUGCAAGAGUGAUUGUUUAUACUUCAGUUACCAUAAUACCAUGGUAUUAUUCAUCAUGUUGUUUUAUUUAUCCUAUGGAACAGAUGCUAUGCAAUAACCAUACAUUUUGGGUGUUUAAAGAUCCAAGUGGAUCACAUGGUGAGCUUUUUGGAUUUGAGAUUGAUUUAUGCAAGAUUUAUGGGACUUAACUUAUGCAGGUUUCAUUAGACUAGUUAAAAUCUUGUUCUUUUUAUUUUAUCUUGUUUUGUUUUGAAUUUGGUUUAUGCAAAAAAAAAGUUCUAUUAAAAAAAGCUGGAAAGAUGUCUUUAGGUUGUAGGUUUGAAUUUUACUCUUCAAAUCUAAUUUCAAAUGGUUUUAUGUUCUAAUAUUUUGGGACUGGUUUAUGCAGGUUUCAUUGGACUCUUUAUAUUGUAGUUUUGAAUUUGGUUUAUUGAUGUUGAUGGUUGCAGCAAAUUGAAUUGAGUAAUGGAGCAAUUGAAGGCAUUAAGAUUGAGUUCAGUAAUUAUAAUACAGGUAACCGAAUAAGAAGAGUCAAGUGAUGGUAGGCGUUUCCGAGUCUAGUUAACGCUAAUUAAGGAUUAUGAAGCAACAUCACAUACUAGGGAUAUUUAGAUAUUUUUUAACUUAUUUUGACGUAAUGUUAUGUUUAACCACUCUACUAAUAUUUAUGUUUUAGGUUUUGAAUGAUUGAACUACAUUAGUUUCUUUCGUUUGGAACUUCAAGUACUUGAAUUAAAUUUUGGAUGUAUGGAUCUUGUCACUAUUGAAUGAAUUAUAUAAAUGAGAUU